rnacentral:rRNA from 1 species
AACGAACGCUGGCGGCAUGCCUAACACAUGCAAGUCGAACGAGAUCUUCGGGUCUAGUGGCGCACGGGUGCGUAACGCGUGGGAAUCUGCCCUUUGGUUCGGAAUAACAGUUGGAAACGACUGCCAAUACCGGAUGAUGACGAGAGUCCAAAGAUUUAUCGCCAGAGGAUGAGCCCGCGUAGGAUUAGCUAGUUGGUGUGGUAAAGGCGCACCAAGGCGACGAUCCUUAGCUGGUCUGAGAGGAUGAUCAGCCACACUGGGACUGAGACACGGCCCAGACUCCUACGGGAGGCAGCAGUGGGGAAUAUUGGACCAUGGGCGAAAGCCUGAUCCAGCAAUGCCGCGUGAGUGAUGAAGGCCUUAGGGUUGUAAAGCUCUUUUACCCGGGAUGAUAAUGACAGUACCGGGAGAAUAAGCUCCGGCUAACUCCGUGCCAGCCGCCGCAGUAA